rnacentral:misc_RNA from 1 species
AACAAUAAUUAAAUUUAAUACACAUAUUAAAAUUAAUAUUUAAGAAGAGCUAUACAGUUUUAGUCGAAACUGACACGUAAUGAGUGUUCAGUUUCGGUAAAAGUUUCUGUUGGACUGUAUUCAUAUAUAUAAUAAAGUUUACAACAUUUUAGCUAAUAUUUAAGUUAUAACAUAAAAAUUUAGAGCGCUUUAAAUUAAGUUUUGCAUAAAUCAUAGCAAUAAAAUUUUUUCAUGUUGCUGCUUCUAGGUGGAUUGCUAGCUAGAAUAGAUUCUAUCCAUUGUAUUGUCUGCGAUGCCGGCCUUUCACUUCAUUGUCACCGCAGUCUAGUAGAAUGAAAAGAUUCUAAUCGUUCUAUAGAAUUGCUAUAGAAUUAACGAAAUCCGACCGGAAAAUGAUCCAUAGCACAGAAUGUUGAAAUAAUGUUCUAUGCUGUAUGGGGAGCAUCAUGUAUCGCAGACUUAUUUGGUACAGGAUGCGCGUGGAUUGGUGAAAUAAAGGACAGGAAUAAAACUGAAAAUCGGCCAAAAUAUGUUAUCUCAGCACUGGGACUACAAUUCUAUCUGCAAUGCUUUUCGCACACUGAGAAUGGACUCGCAAGAUGGACAUAUAUACAGGGUGUCCAGAAAAUCGCUUGCAAUAUUUUGGAAAGUGAUUCGGAACUCAAAAAAAAAAGGAAAAAAAACUU